rnacentral:rRNA from 1 species
GAUGAACGCUGGCGGCGUGCCUAAUACAUGCAAGUCGAGCGAACAGAUGAGGAUCUUGCUCCUCUGACGUUAGCGGCGGACGGGUGAGUAACACGUGGAUAACCUACCUAUAAGACUUGGAUAACUUCGGGAAACCGGAGCUAAUACCGGAUAAUAUAUUGAACCGCAUGGUUCAAUAGUGAAAGACGGUUUUGCUGUCACUUCUAGAUGUAUCCUCGCCGCAUUAGCUAUUUGGUAAGGUAACGGCUUACCAAGGCAACGAUGCGUAGCCGACCUGAGAGGGUGUACGGCGACACUGGAGCUGAGACACGGUCCAGACUCCUACGGGAGGCAGAAGUAGGGAAUCUUCCGAAAUGGGCGAAAGCCUGAAGGAGCAACGCAGCGUGAGUGAUGAAGGUCUUCGGAUCGUAAAACGCUGUUAUUAGGGAAGAACAAAUGUGUAAGUAACUAUGCACGUCUUGACGGUACCUAAUCAGAAAGCCACGGCUAACUACGUG